rnacentral:rRNA from 1 species
AUUGAACGCUGGCGGCAGGCCUAACACAUGCAAGUCGAACGGUAACAGGAAGCAGCUUGCUGCUUCGCUGACGAGUGGCGGACGGGUGAGUAAUGUCUGGGAAACUGCCUGAUGGAGGGGGAUAACUACUGGAAACGGUAGCUAAUACCGCAUAACGUCGCAAGACCAAAGAGGGGGACCUUAGGGCCUCUUGCCAUCGGAUGUGCCCAGAUGGGAUUAGCUAGUAGGUGGGGUAACGGCUCACCUAGGCGACGAUCCCUAGCUGGUCUGAGAGGAUGACCAGCCACACUGGAACUGAGACACGGUCCAGACUCCUACGGGAGGCAGCAGUGGGGAAUAUUGCACAAGGGGCGCAAGCCUGAUGCAGCCAUGCCGCGGGUAUGAAGAAGGCCUUCGGGUUGUAAAGGACGUUCAGCGGGGAGGAAGGGAGUAAAGUUAAUACCUUUGCUCAUUGACGUUACCCGCAGAAGAAGCACCGGCUAACUCCGUGC